rnacentral:rRNA from 1 species
UGGGGAAUAUUGCACAAUGGGGGAAACCCUGAUGCAGCGACGCCGCGUGAGCGAAGAAGGCCUUCGGGUCGUAAAGCUCUUUUAUGAGGGAAGAUAAUGACGGUACCUCAAGAAAAAGCCCCGGCUAACUACGUGCCAGCAGCCGCGGUAAUACGUAGGGGGCUAGCGUUGUCCGGAAUCACUGGGCGUAAAGGGUUCGCAGGCGGAAUAACAAGUCAGAUGUGAAAGGCAUGGGCUCAACCCAUGUAAGCAUUUGAAACUGUAAUUCUUGAGAAGUGGAGAGGUAAGUGGAAUUCCUAGUGUAGCGGUGAAAUGCGUAGAUAUUAGGAGGAAUACCGGUGGCGAAGGCGACUUUCUGGACUUUUACUGACGCUCAGGUACGAAAGCGUGGGGAGCAAACAGG